GGGGUAUUAGGGGUUGUAGGGGGUAUAUUAGGGUUGUAGGGUAUUAUUAGGGGUAUUAUUAGCUGUUGUAGGGUAUUAUUAAGGGUAUUAUUAGCUGUUUGUAUGGUAUUAUUAGGGGUAUUAUUAGGGGUUGUUGGGUAUUAUUAGGGGUAUUAUUAGGGGUUGUAGGGUAUUAUUAGGGGUAUUAGCUGUUGUAGGGUAUUAUUAGGGGUAUUAGCUGUUGUAGGGUAUUAUUAGGGGUAUUAUUAGGGGUUGUAGGGUAUUAUUAGGGGUAUUAUUAGGGGUUGUAGGGUAUUAUUAGGGGUAUUAUUAGGGGUUGUAGGGUAUUAUUAGGGGUAUUAUUAGCUGUUGUUGGGUAUUAUUAGGGGUAUUAUUAGCUGUUGUUGGGUAUUAUUAGGGGUAUUAUUAGGGGUUGUAGGGUAUUAUUAGGGGUAUUAUUAGGGGUAUUAUUAGGGGUUGUAGGGGUAUUUUAAGGGUAUUAUUGGGGUGUAAUUAUGCAGUAAGGUGGAUCGAUUUAAAAGACAACCCCUGAAAGAAUCCACGUGAUAAUUAUAAAUCGGUACAGGCAACUGAUGUGUAAAUAAUAAUUUAUAUUUGAAACUGCUGUGUAAAUAAUUUAACGUGAUUUCCUCAGAACUCUGACGGUUUAUACUGGUCUGGUUUUAAACGUAUUCAGCAGUCAGGAGUUAAGAGAAGUUCUGCCUCAGAUUGGGAACAC
ensembl:lncRNA